rnacentral:sRNA from 1 species
GCAGGUUGCAACUUGUGUGCGACUUUUAGGUCGUAAUUCUAACUCCAAGAGGCUCUUGGGUUAUGUGGCAACUCUGAAGGAUAAUUUUGGAUUUAUUGAAACAGCCAAUCAUGAUAAGGAAAUCUUUUUCCAUUACAGUGAGUUCUCUGGUGAUGUUGAUAGCCUGGAACUGGGGGACAUGGUCGAGUAUAGCUUGUCCAAAGGCAAAGGCAACAAAGUCAGUGCAGAAAAAGUGAACAAAACACACUCAGUGAAUGGCAUUACUGAGGAAGCUGAUCCCACCAUUUACUCUGGCAAAGUAAUUCGCCCUCUGAGGAGUGUUGAUCCAACACAGACUGAGUACCAAGGAAUGAUUGAGAUUGUGGAGGAGGGCGAUAUGAAAGGUGAGGUCUAUCCAUUUGGCAUUGUUGGGAUGGCCAACAAAGGGGAUUGCCUGCAGAAAGGGGAGAGCGUCAAGUUCCAAUUGUGUGUCCUGGGCCAAAAUGCACAAACUAUGGCUUACAACAUCACACCCCUGCGCAGGGCCACAGUGGAAUGUGUGAAAGAUCAGGUAAGUUCCAGCAUCUCUGUAUCUGAAUUUGAUCCUUCUAUGAGUUGGUAACCAAAACCUUCAAAUAUUUUCAGCCAAGGGGAAAUCAUCAACAUUCAUUCGUUUUUUAUUUCUACUUCACCUUUUUUCAGUCAUUUGAGGUAGCUUAAUAAAAACAGAAAACUACACAAAAAGUGACUAUAUUAGCAAUGAGAAAGUAAGAUUGGUAUUAGUAACUAAUAUUACGCAAUGGGGAAAAUAAGUUAGAGGUGAGAUUUCCAGAAUAGAAGGACUAUAUGGUUUUGUACACUUUUGCUUAGAGCUGCUUUUGCAUAUCACACAA